rnacentral:rRNA from 1 species
AUUGAACGCUGGCGGCAGGCCUAACACAUGCAAGUCGAGCGGAUGAAGGGAGCUUGCUCCUGGAUUCAGCGGCGGACGGGUGAGUAAUGCCUAGGAAUCUGCCUGGUAGUGGGGGAUAACGUCCGGAAACGGGCGCUAAUACCGCAUACGUCCUGAGGGAGAAAGUGGGGGAUCUUCGGACCUCACGCCAUCAGAUGAGCCUAGGUCGGAUUAGCUAGUUGGUGGGGUAAAGGCCUACCAAGGCGACGAUCCGUAACUGGUCUGAGAGGAUGAUCAGUCACACUGGAACUGAGACACGGUCCAGACUCCUACGGGAGGCAGCAGUGGGGAAUAUUGGACAAAGGGCGAAAGCCUGAUCCAGCCAUGCCGCGUGUGUGAAGAAGGUCUUCGGAUUGUAAAGCACUUUAAGUUGGGAGGAAGGGCAGUAAGUUAAUACCUUGCUGUUUUGACGUUACCAACAGAAUAAGCACCGGCUAACUUCGUG